UGAUACUUAUUACAGUUUCUAGUGGCGGACGGUGAGUAACACGUUGGAACCUGCCCCAAAGUGAGGAAUAAGCCACCGAAAGGUGGUCUAAUACUUCAUAAUAUCCAUCUCGUAUGGAUUAAAGCUUUAUGCGCUUGGGAGGGGCCUGCGUAACAUUAGCUUGUUGGUGAGGUAAAAGCUCACCAAGGCUUCGAUGUUUAACUGGUUUGAGAGGAUGACCAGUCACACUGGGACUGAGAUACGGCCCAGACUCCUACGGGAGGCAGCAGUAAGGAAUCUUCCACAAUGGGGCAACCCUGAUGGAGCAAUACCGCGUGCAGGAUGAAGCGUUUCGGCGUGUAAACUGCUUUUAUCACCGAAGAUUAUGACUGUAGGUGAAGAAUAAGGACCGGCUAACUACGUG
rnacentral:rRNA from 1 species